GUGGCUUAGGGGUUAAAGCAGUUGACUUUUAAUCUGCAUGCCCUGGGUUCGAAUCCCGCC
rnacentral:tRNA from 1 species